rnacentral:snoRNA from 1 species
AUCCCAUGAUGAGGACAGUCUUCAAUGUAAUUUUGAAAUCUUUCCCAUGCUUCAGUGAAUGAUUCAUCAUGUUGUUGUUGGAAACUCACUAUGCCAAAACAGCAC